AAUAUAUUCUUCCAAGAUCGCAUAAGUCUUAUGAAUGAACGCUUCUUUAGCUAUGCGCAAGACAUGUCUCAACCAUCUAAUUCCUCAUUCCUUUAAUCUAUUCUCUACCAGUGCCUUGUCUAGUUGCUACUAUAUUCUCUUUCCAAAGCUUGUUAUAUUAUAGACACACAUCCGUGUUUAAAUCCUCGUUUCCACUACAAUCAUGUUAUCGACUUUGUAACAACUUUAUACUUUUAAGAAUAGAAGAUAUACCUUUUCUAUAAAACUUGAUUUUAAACUUAAGGGGAUACUCCUAUUACAUAGAAUCACUAUAGCACUUCUCCAUUUCAUUCAUGGGUUUCUAAUUCAAAAACCAAUGUAUUCAGCAUCAAGUCCUCUUAACUUGUUAAUAUUGGAACCUAAAUCUAUUCCAAGCAGUCUUUAGGUCUAUUAUAACUAUGUCUUUAAUGAAUACUUGACCCUCAUUUUGCCUCGUAGGUUCCUUCAUGACUGGAGGUACAAACAGGGACUUAAAGGAUAGCCUUGAUGCAAUCAUACAGUGAUAAGAAUAUUUCUACUCCCAUUUCAUCUCAUAUUUUGGUUGUUCUACAUUACACAUAUUUCAAAAUAUCAAUAUAUCUAAUAAAAUUCAUUUUCUUUCAAGCACCCAUAGCACUUCCUUGGACACCUAUCACAGGUUUUUCUAAAUUAAUAAAAACUAUUUCUUUCUUAUUUUGUGUAUAACUCUCCAUCAAUCUCCUAAGCAUUUAGUUGGCCUGUUUAUUAGGCACAAAUUUAAAC
rnacentral:lncRNA from 1 species